rnacentral:rRNA from 1 species
UGGUGGAGUGAUUUGUCUGGUUAAUUCCGUUAACGAACGAGACCUCAGCCUGCUAAAUAGUCCCACUAAUUCCAAAUUGGUGGCGGACUUCUUAGUGGGACUAUUGGCGUUUAGCCAAUGGAAGUUUGAGGCAAUAACA